AUUUUUAACAUCUUACAUUAUUAUGGUGCAUUUGUUACAAUUAAUCAAUCACGGUUCAUAAACUAUUAUUAACUUAGUUUAUUCAGAUUGUUAUUCAGAUUGCCUUAGUUUUUACCUAAUGUAUUUUUUCUGUUCCAGAAUUCCAUCUAGGAUGUCACAUUAAUUUAAUAGUCACAUCUCCUUAGGUUCCUCUUGAUAGAGAUUCUUAGACUUUUCUUGUUUUUGGUGACUUUGACAGUUUUGAAGAGUACCGGGCAGAUAUUGUGGAGGACAUCCCUUAGUAUGGUUAUAGAUGAUGUUUUCCUCAGAUUAGACUGGAGCGAUCUGUUCUUGGGAUGAAGACCACAGAGGCAACAGAAACAAUCUUUGUCCAACCAGCAAAAGAGGGAUUUGGAGAAAGAAAAUGAAGCAGCUUAUGGAACAGAAGGUCAGGAGAGUCCCAAGAAGAAGGAUCAUAUCUGGUUUCCUCUUCUGCCUCUCCCCAUGGUGUCUAGGAGAGUGCACACUCAGUCAGCAUUGAUAACUAACUCUGGUAAAUAAAGAAAAGGCAAACAUUAGGAGACAGAAAACCAGAUACUAAUCUCACUUUUACAAAUGAGGGCAAGCCAUCCAACCUCGGUGAGCCUCAGUCCUCUCAUCUUUGUAAUGGUGACCGUAAGAAUUCAUUCCACUUUCAUGCCACACAGUGGUUACAAUGCUUAAAUGAGGAAGGUGACGUGAAAGUGGCUUAUCAUCUCAGCUAUAGACAUGCCACAUUGCUAUUAGGUCACCAAGGCACGCUAGAGACAAUCAGAAUAAAACCUGGGCAAGCUCAGUCAACCCUGGCAACCCUGGCAUUCUGAUACUCCUAGAACAGUGUCUUAUGUUUAUUCUUUUGGGGUAACAUUUAAGCUUUGAGGCCACAGAGCAGAAGCCUUGCCAUUUUAUAUUGAGCGCAGCAGUCAGCAUAUUAAAAACAAGGACUGCUGAACACCAGCUGCGAUGAAAUGCUUUAUCAGAGGAUGUUAAGAAGUCAGGCUCUUCCUUUCUCAGCAGUAUUUUCUCUAAUUUCUCUUUUCCCAUCUGUCCCUACCACGAAGACACUUGUUCACACUCAGACUGCUUCCUGCCUGGACCCCUGCCACCUUCUCCUGCCUGACUUUCUAUCUCUUGCCUCCUCAUCCUGUCUC